rnacentral:rRNA from 1 species
AGAGUUCGUAGGUGGUUGAAAAAGUUAGUGGUGAAAUCCCAGAGCUUAACUCUGGAACUGCCAUUAAAACUUUUCAGCUAGAGUAUGAUAGAGGAAAGCAGAAUUUCUAGUGUAGAGGUGAAAUUCGUAGAUAUUAGAAAGAAUACCAAUUGCGAAGGCAGCUUUCUGGAUCAUUACUGACACUGAGGAACGAAAGCAUGGGUAGCGAAGAGGAUUAGAUACCCUCGUAGUCCAUGCCGUAAACGAUGUGUGUUAGACGUUGGAAAUUUAUUUUCAGUGUCGCAGGGAAACCGAUAAACACACCGCCUGGGGAGUACGACCGCAAGGUUAAAACUCAAAUGAAUUGACGGGGACCCGCACAAGUAGUGGAGCAUGUGGUUUAAUUCGAAGAUACGCGCAGAACCUUACCAACACUUGACAUGUUCGUCGCGACUCUAAGAGAUUAGAGUUUUCGGUUCGGCCGGACGAAACACAGGUGCUGCAUGGCUGUCGUCAGCUCGUGUCGUGAGAUGUUGGGUUAAGUCCCGCAACGAGCGCAACCCUCACUUUUAGUUGCCAUCAUUAAGUUGGGCACUCUGAAAGAACUGCCAGUGAUAAGCUGGAGGAAGGUAGGGAUGACGUCAAGUCCUCAUGGCCCUUACGUGUUGGGCUACACACGUGCUACAAUGGUAUCUACAACAGGAAGCAAGACUGCGAAGUUAAGCAAAUCCCUAAAAGAUACCUCAGUUCGGAUU